rnacentral:rRNA from 1 species
UGGGGAAUCUUGCACAAUGGGGGAAACCCUGAUGCAGCGACGCCGCGUGAACGAUGAAGCCCUUCGGGGUGUAAAGUUCUUUCGACAGGAACGAUAAUGACGGUACCUGGAGAAGAAGCUGCGGCUAACUACGUGCCAGCAGCCGCGGUAAUACGUAAGCAGCGAGCGUUGUUCGGAGUUACUGGGCGUAAAGAGUGCGUAGGCGGCGAGCCAAGUUUGGUGUGAAAUCUCCCGGCUUAACCGGGAGGGUGCGCCGAAAACUGGUUGGCUGGAGUAUGGGAGAGGAAAGCGGAAUUCCUGGUGUAGCGGUGAAAUGCGUAGAUAUCAGGAGGAACACCUGCGGUGUAGACAGCUUUCUGGACCAAAACUGACGCUGAGGCACGAAAGCGUGGGUAGCAAACA